AAGGUGGAAAUCAUCAUCCAAUUCAAAAACUUCGGGAAAUUUUCAUCAAUUCUUAGAUGAGGGCCCCAGUCAACAUUUCGCAGGCUAUAAACUGAAAGAUGAAAAUUUGAAGUACCAUCGAGGUUCAAAGUACAUGAGUAUACACAAUCCCUCAGUCUCUAGUGAUCAAUACAGUGGAGCUAUGAUGUGGGCUCAAGGUGGACAAAACCAAGUACAAGUUGAAUGGCAUGUGAAUCCUAAGUUAUAUGGUGACAGCAAAAUUCAUAUAUUUGGGUAUUGGUCUGUA